GAUGAACGCUGGCGGCGUGCCUAAUACAUGCAAGUCGAGCGAAUGGAUUAAGAGCUUGCUCUUAUGAAGUUAGCGGCGGACGGGUGAGUAACACGUGGGUAACCUGCCCAUAAGACUAGGAUAACUCCGGGAAACCGGGGCUAAUACCGGAUAACAUUUUGAACCGCAUGGUUCGAGAUUGAAAGGCGGCUUCGGCUGUCACUUAUGGAUGGACCCGCGUCGCAUUAGCUAGUGGGUGAGGUAACGGCUCACCAAGGCAACGAUGCGUAGCCGACCUGAGAGGGUGAUCGGCCACACUGGGACUGAGACACGGCCCAGACUCCUACGGGAGGCAGCAGUAGGGAAUCUUCCGCAAUGGACGAAAGUCUGACGGAGCAACGCCGCGUGAGUGAUGAAGGCUUUCGGGUCGUAAAACUCUGUUGUUAGGGAAGAACAAGUGCUAGUUGAAUAAGCUGGCACCUUGACGGUACCUAACCAGAAAGCCACGGCUAACUACGUGCCAGCCGCCGCGGUAA
rnacentral:rRNA from 1 species